GAUGAAGAACGUAGCGAAAUGCGAUAACUAAUGUGAAUUGCAGAAUUCAGUGAAUCAUCGAGUCUUUGAACGCACAUUGCGCCCCCUGGUAUUCCGGGGGGCAUGCCUGUCCGAGCGUCAUUGCUGCCCUCAAGCACGGCUUGUGUGUUGGGCUCCGUCCCCCCGGGGACGGGCCCGAAAGGCAGCGGCGGCACCGAGUCCGGUCCUCGAGCGUAUGGGGCUUUGUCACCCGCUCUGUAGGCCCGGCCGGCGCCAGCCGACAACCCAUCAUCCUUUUCAGGUUGACCUCGGAUCAGGUAGGGAUACCCGCUGAACUAAAGCAUAUCAAUAAGCGGAGGA
rnacentral:misc_RNA from 1 species